rnacentral:rRNA from 1 species
AAAUUGAAGAGUUUGAUCAUGGCUCAGAUUGAACGCUGGCGGCAGGCCUAACACAUGCAAGUCGAACGGUAACAGGAAGCAGCUUGCUGCUUCGCUGACGAGUGGCGGACGGGUGAGUAAUGUCUGGGAAACUGCCUGAUGGAGGGGGAUAACUACUGGAAACGGUGGCUAAUACCGCAUAACGUCGCAAGACCAAAGAGGGGGACCUUCGGGCCUCUUGCCAUCAGAUGUGCCCAGAUGGGAUUAGCUUGUUGGUGAGGUAACGGCUCACCAAGGCGACGAUCCCUAGCUGGUCUGAGAGGAUGACCAGCCACACUGGAACUGAGACACGGUCCAGACUCCUACGGGAGGCAGCAGUGGGGAAUAUUGCACAAUGGGCGCAAGCCUGAUGCAGCCAUGCCGCGUGUAUGAAGAAGGCCUUCGGGUUGUAAAGUACUUUCAGCGGGGAGGAAGGUGUUGCGGUUAAUAACCGCAGCAAUUGACGUUACCCGCAGAAGAAGCACCGGCUAACUCCGUGCCAGCAGCCGCGGUAAUACGGAGGGU